GGUUUAGUAGUUCAGUGGAAAAACGUAUGCUUAACAGCCAUCUGUAUGCGCGCAUAAGGUCCCGGAAUCGAAACCCAGUAGAACCU